rnacentral:rRNA from 1 species
GACGAACGCUGGCGGCGUGCUUAACACAUGCAAGUCGAACGGGCUCUGUCUGGCUGUGUGCUGGGUGGGGUUAGUGGCGAACGGGUGAGUAAUACGUGAGUAACCUGCCCUCUUCUUUGGGAUAAGCCUUGGAAACGGGGUCUAAUACUGGAUAUUCCUGUCUGGUCGCAUGGCUGGGUGGGGAAAGUUUUUUUCGGUGGGGGAUGGGCUCGCGGCCUAUCAGCUUGUUGGUGGGGUGAUGGCCUACCAAGGCGUCGACGGGUAGCCGGCCUGAGAGGGUGACCGGCCACACUGGGACUGAGAUACGGCCCAGACUCCUACGGGAGGCAGCAGUGGGGGAUAGUGCACAAUGGGCGCAAGCCUGAUGCAGCGACGCCGCGUGGGGGAUGACGGCUUUCGGGUUGUAAACCUCUUUCGUCGGGGGACAAGGCUCUGCUUGGUGGUGGGGUUGAGGGUACCCGGUGAAGAAGCGCCGGCUAACUACGUG